rnacentral:rRNA from 1 species
GACGAACGCUGGCGGCGUGCUUAACACAUGCAAGUCGAACGGAAAGGCCCUGCUUUUGUGGGGUGCUCGAGUGGCGAACGGGUGAGUAACACGUGAGUAACCUGCCCUUGACUUUGGGAUAACUUCAGGAAACUGGGGCUAAUACCGGAUAGGAGCUCCUGCUGCAUGGUGGGGGUUGGAAAGUUUCGGCGGUUGGGGAUGGACUCGCGGCUUAUCAGCUUGUUGGUGGGGUAGUGGCUUACCAAGGCUUUGACGGGUAGCCGGCCUGAGAGGGUGACCGGCCACAUUGGGACUGAGAUAGGGCCCAGACUCCUACGGGAGGCAGCAGUGGGGAAUAUUGCACAAUGGGCGGAAGCCUGAUGCAGCAACGCCGCGUGCGGGAUGACGGCCUUCGGGUUGUAAACCGCUUUCGACUGUGACGAAGCGUGAGUGACGGUAAUGGGUAAAGAAGCACCGGCUAACUACGUG